UACAGCAGCCAUAUCACCCUGCAACUCACAACUGGCACCCCACUUAAGCUAAGCAAGUGUGAGCUUGGCCAGUACCUGGUCCGGAGACAUCAUGGGAAAAACUAAGGUUGCUGCUGGAA
rnacentral:rRNA from 1 species